UACUCUUGGUGGUGGAUCACUCCGCUUAUGCAUCGAUGAAGGACACAACUAGCUGCAUGAACUAAUGUGAAUUGCAGGAUACAUUGAUCAUAGACACUUUGAACACACAUUGUGGCUCUGGAUCUUUUCCGGGGCUACGCCUGUCUGAGGGUCA
rnacentral:rRNA from 1 species